rnacentral:pre_miRNA from 1 species
UGGGGGAGCGCAGGAUCCUGGGCUGUGUCAGUCUGGCGCCUUGGGAUCUGGGGCCUGUGCUGCUGGAAUCACGCUCCCAGGGCCACACAGCCCGCU